rnacentral:rRNA from 1 species
AUUGAACGCUGGCGGCAUGGCUAAAACAUGCAAGUCGAACGCCUGUAGCAAUACAGGAGUGGCGAAAGGGCGAGGAAUAGAUUCCUAUGUACCUCAAGGUCGGGGAUACCCCGGAGAAAUCCGGAUCAAUACCCGAUGUGGUCGAGAGAUCAAAGGUUUACCGCCUUGAGAGCAGGGAAUCUCCUAUCAGGUAGUUGGUGAGGUAAUGGCUCACCAAGCCGAAGACGGGUAGCGGGUGUGAGAGCACGGCCCGCCGCAUCGAGACUGAGACACUGCUCGGACUCCUACGGGAGGCUGCAGUAACGAAUCUUCCGCAAUGCGCGAAAGCGUGACGGGGCAAUGCCGCGUGCAGGAUGAAGCCCUUCGGGGUGUAAACUGCUGUCAGGGUGCAGGAAUGAAAUGACCAUACCCAAAGGAAGCACCGGCUAACUCUGUG